UGAGGAAUCUUGCGCAAUGGGGGAAACCCUGACGCAGCAACGCCGCGUGAGGGAAGAAGGUCUUCGGAUUGUAAACCUCUGUCCUUGGGGACGAAAAAAAUGACGGUACCCAAGGAGGAAGCUCCGGCUAACUACGUGCCAGCAGCCGCGGUAAUACGUAGGGAGCAAGCGUUGUCCGGAAUUACUGGGCGUAAAGGGUGCGUAGGCGGUCAGGCAAGUCAGAUGUGAAAUCCCCGGGCUUAACUCGGGUGGUGCAUUUGAAACUGCUUGACUUGAGUGCAGGAGAGGAAAGCGGAAUUCCUAGUGUAGCGGUGAAAUGCGUAGAUAUUAGGAGGAACACCAGUGGCGAAGGCGGCUUUCUGGACUGUAACUGACGCUGAGGCACGAAAGCGUGGGGAGCAAACA
rnacentral:rRNA from 1 species